CUCUCAGGGGACCCACACAGCGCUACAAUGAUCCUUGUACGUUUCUAAGAAGUCUUCCAAGUGCGGAGAAGCUCAUGGAAGAGGCAUCCAUGUUACCACUGACACUGAGAUUGCCUGAAAAAUUAUCUUGACCAUCAAGACAAAUGUGAAAAUGGGUUUAAGAUGGAACUUCUGGACAUGGUUAAAAUGUGAAUCGCUUGGAAAUUCUGCAGGUGAGCCGACAGCCGGCUGGGAUCCCGCACCUCCCACCCCGGCCACCACCACAGGCCUGUGGAGCCCUCGGCGCCCUCUGGACCCAGCUUCAGCUCCUUUCACUCUCACUGAAGGCUCUCCAUCUCUCUGGGACCUCCUCCCGGUCCUGUGACCCUCUCUUUCUUUUGGUGUCUAGCUAAGUUUAUAGGGCGGCUGAACCCCAUCAUAGCUCAUGCUCUGAAAAUGCUCAUCAGAGCACCAUAAUGCUCAUCAGAGCAUCAAUAAUGCUUAUCAUUACCCUCUCCCAGCAG
rnacentral:lncRNA from 1 species